rnacentral:rRNA from 1 species
GACGAACGCUGGCGGCGUGCUUAACACAUGCAAGUCGAACGGAAAGGCCCUGCUUUUGUGGGGUGCUCGAGUGGCGAACGGGUGAGUAACACGUGAGUAACCUGCCCUUGACUUUGGGAUAACUUCAGGAAACUGGGGCUAAUACCGGAUAGGAGCUCCUGCUGCAUGGUGGGGGUUGGAAAGUUUCGGCGGUUGGGGAUGGACUCGCGGCUUAUCAGCUUGUUGGUGGGGUAGUGGCUUACCAAGGCUUCGACGGGUAGCCGGCCUGAGAGGGUGACCGGCCACAUUGGGAAUGAGAUACGGCCCAGACUCCUACGGGAGGCAGCAGUGGGGAAUAGUGCACGAUGGGCGGAAGCCUGAUGCAGCAACGCCGCGUGCGGGAUGACGGCCUUCGGGUUGUAAACCGCUUUCGCCUGUGACGAAGCGUGAGUGACGGUAAUGGAUAAAGAAGCACCGGCUAACUACGUG